UGCGUAAUCCGAGUAAUCGCUUGCAAGUAUUUGUAAGAGGAAAGUCCGGACUCCAUUGGGCAAAGUGCCAGGUAACGCCUGGGAAGUUUAGGCUCAAGCCUAGAUUGACGACAAGUGCAACAGAAAGUAAACCGCCUAGUUUACUAGGUAAGGGUGAAAGGGUGAGGUAAGAGCUCACCAGACAGUUCAGUAAUGGCUGUGCUAGGUAAACUCCACUCGGAGCAAGAUCAAAUAGGUGUUAAUAUAGUCCGCCCUGACUUAACACGGGUAGAUCGCUUGAGGCUAACAGUGAUGUUAGUCCUAGAUGAAUGAUUACAUAAAACAGAAUCCGGCUUACGGGGUUACAUUUUAA
rnacentral:RNase_P_RNA from 1 species